GGGCGCGUGCGCGCGGCGUGGGUCACGUGGGCCGGCGGGGGCAGGGCGGGAAAGCGCUGAGGGAGAGCGGACCAGGGAGUGGGAAGAGGUUGGAAAGAGACUCUGCUCUGACCCUUGGACAAUGUUCUUUGGAGAGCACUGCACCAAGCCAAGACAAAGCACAGCAGGGUUUGGCUGUUGUCUGCUUUGUACAUCACGGAGACAUCGCUGUCCCAAAGCCACUGGAUGCAGAGGGUUGCAGUGCUAACCAGAAAGUUUGCAAGGAUGAUCACUGAAGGAUGUAUUUGCUAGUGAAUAGAAGUUCCUCUGUCUGUAGAAAUAUCACAGUCUGAACAGCAGGACUCAAAGCCAACAGACAGCAGUGAGAUGCUCCCAUACAACAACUGUGCAGGCAGGCACCACAGGGUGAGAACAAGAAAAGCAAGAAAAACUAAAGGCUGAGUAGAGCACAUGCCAUUUCCAACCUACAAGCUUCUGUGAUAAAAGAGUGGAACAAAUUGCAGCAGACGUGCUACAGCCAGCGCGCUACUAGAGAGCACAUGAAGGUCUUGAGGGGUCACACUGCUACCACAAAGCCAGGCUGGCACCAUUAAUUCUUUCCUGAGUGGCUUUGCUGAGAGCAAGAAUAGAGACAGAACCACCUGAGAGCCCCAGCACAGGCUUGUGAAGAAUGGAAAGUGUGUGCUGAGGCAGUGCCCACACGUCGGCUUGUGAAGCGACACAAAGCAUCGCCCUCACAAGAGAGUGAGGCUCAGGGGAGCCACUCUCAGUACAAAUGGCACCCAGAUCAGAGGAGUGACAACAUCAAAGAACCUUCAACAAAUGACACCAGAAAAGACAGGUAACUCUAUUGAUUUUUCUCACUUUGGUAGAGAUGUUCCUGUCUCUAGCUGGAAGCAGUGAUGCUUAAGUCACUGAGGGAGCACAAGCAACUGGAGCAGAGUGGCUCCAUGGACUGAUGAAAGGGAAGGAGUCCUGGGACAGACCCUUGGGACUGCAAAUCUCUCAUCUCUUUCAUUUUCAGGAUAAAGCUGCAGCACUCACAGAGAGUUAAAGCAUCUUUCUCCUGGCAAAGCAUAGAAUUUUAUUUCACUGCCACCAACUUCUAAAUAACACACACUAUUUUUUACCGUCAGCUGCAGAAGCACCAUUCUCACUGUAUUUUUUCUUUCAUAUUUUUGUGUCCAGGUUGCUGGGUUUCAAUAUCAAACUGCAGUUUUAAAACACUAAAUUCAGCAACAAUAGAUGUCAAAUCUCAGAGAUCUGAUGGAAUGAGUCAGGGGGGAGGUACAGGAGGCUCAGGACAGUCCAUAUGUCCAGUCUCUAUUAAUUAAUAACAUGGGGCAGACGCAAUGGGAUAGAAAUUAUGGGAGUAGGGUGGGUUUUGUAGCCACGGCCCUGUAACCUUCUGAGCAAUUCUGGUGUUGGUCACAUCCUCCCUCCUUCCAGUGCACCCCCAGCUUCCAGGGAAACCUUUCAUGGAAGGGGCAUCACUCCAUACUAAAGCCAGUCUUCCCAGAGCCAAGGCCCUGACUCAUCUGACUUCUCUGUCCCUGAAUAAUCUGACACAAAACCGCUUGGGAAAUGUCUAGGUAUGAAAAAGGAAAUGGGAAUCACAGAACCACGGAAUAUCCUGGGCUGGAUGGGACCCACAGGAAUCAUUGAGUCUAACUCCUUGCACAGACAUCCCAAAAUCCCACCCUGUGUCUGAGAGCAGUGUCCAAACACUCCUGGAGCUCUGGCAGCCUCGAGGCUGCGGCCAUUCCCUGGGGAGCCUGGGCAGUGUGCAGGUGUGAGACUGCACAGAGGGAAAAAAGGGGACUCUGACAAAAUCCCUAUCAUUCAUAGUUAACAUCACCACAAUCUGCACUUAAAAUGCUUGGUCCCACAAGGAGAGGGCAGGAAUUGGGGUGGAGGAAUGGCACUGACUGUUUCUAUCACGUUUGGAAACAGAAGCCAGCACAAUGGACUGCUGAGGCCACUGUCUUGCAAAAGUGGCCACAAAUCAGGUCACUCUGAGAAAACCUUAUCCCAUACAGGAAAUGCAGCCAUGACCAUUUCCACCUGCCAUUUUGAUCAGAAGUUAAUACAUCAGGCUGCUGGAGCCAGCCUGAGCACCAGGGCUCAGAGCUCGCUGCCCCACACAGACACCCCGGCAGAGAGAGGGGAAACUCAGCAGGCUGUGACAGCACUUUGUUCCAUGGAACAACAGACUGUCACUGCAGGCUCAGAUUAAUCACUUCCCUCCACCCCAGACACCUGGAAACCAAACACUCAGCUUUCCCCGAGUGUUUGAAGUGCCAGAUUUUGCUGGUGCGACAGAGCAGGGCUGGAGCUUGUGGACACCCCUCAGUAACCCUGAGCCCACUGCCAGGGUCAACCCAGUGUUUGACACAUCUCAGAUCUCACAGAGGUACCAGUUUUACCCUUCUCCAUGUCUGUGAAAGCUGGGCAAUGUCACUGCUUCCAGAGCAGCCCAGACAGCCCGUCAGAGCCACCUGCCUCCAGCUGAUACACCAAGAGCCACCUCCAGCCACCAGCCAUAGCCAUGAGAUGGUGCAUUGGCAUCUGAGCCUCACCCCUGGCACCCAAACAAAAAAAAAUUAUCAGAGAGCUCACAAAUUCAGUGCAGAGCACAGGGGGUGGCGGGAGCCAUCAGCAUUUUGUGCAGCUUUUGUCUUGAGGAAAAAGAAAACAGUUUCCAGGAGGGGCCAGGAGCACUGCUGGAUGUAGAGCACAGAGAUCCCAGAUCUCAGAAUGGUUUGGGUUGGAAGGGACCUUAGAGCUCAUCUCAUCCCACCCCUGCCAUGGGCAGGGACACCUUCCACUGACCCAGGUUGCUCCAAGCCCUGUCCAACCUGGCCUUGGGCACUUCCAGGGAUGGGGCACCCACAGCUGCCUUGGGCAGCCUGUGCUCUAUAGAAACGAGGACAAGCUAAGUCCAGGUUCCUGGCAGGAACUCGUGUGCCACAGGUCUAACAGAUUGCAAUGGGGAGAAGGGGCAGAGGCUCCACAUUCCUCCCUGUCCCCCCAGAUCUGUUACCAGGCAAAGUGAAACCGUGUCCCCACAAGUGCAUUCACCGAGCAGAAAACAGGAAGCACUCGGGUAAUUAGUUAAAAAGCAAACAGUUCAAAUGCAAACUAUUAAAUUCCUAUCAUGUCUUUACAUUCCUCUCAGCCCAGUUCACUUCUGGGUGUCUGCUAUAAAACGCCUAGAAAAUCUCACUGUCACAGGUUUGAGAGGUGACCGAGCGAUUCCCUGCGCAAUGAGCCGAAACGCUGAGCCAAGCCUUGAGUGAACUCACCAAAAAU